GACGAACGCUGGCGGCGUGCUUAACACAUGCAAGUCGAACGGAAAGGCCCCUUUGGGGGUACUCGAGUGGCGAACGGGUGAGUAACACGUGAGUAACCUGCCCUUUACUUCUGGAUAACUUCAGGAAACUGGGGCUAAUACCGGAUAGGAAUCCUUGCUGCAUGGUGGGGGUUGGAAAGCUUCGGCGGGUUUGGAUGGACUCGCGGCUUAUCCGCUUGUUGGUGGGGUAGUGGCUUACCAAGGCUUUGACGGGUAGCCGGCCUGAGAGGGCGACCGGCCACAUUGGGACUGAGGUACGGCCCAGACUCCUACGGGAGGCAGCAGUGGGGAAUAUUGCACAAUGGGCGGAAGCCUGAUGCAGCAACGCCGCGUGCGGGAUGACGGCCUUCGGGUUGUAAACCGCUUUCAGCAGGGGCGAAGCUUGUGGUGACGGUACCGGCAGAAGAAGCACCGGCUAACUACGUG
rnacentral:rRNA from 1 species